AUGAGGUUUAGGCACCAUUGGCCCCCCCGCCAGAAAGAAAAAAGGUUAUUUUUGCCCAUUUCCAACAGGUAACUUUGGCUUGUAAAAUGUGACAUGUUAACAUUUUUCUCCUUAACCUCCCCUACCAUAAACGUAAAUCACGAAAGAAAACUAAACUCCCAUAAACGUUUUUAGCAAUGCAUAUGCUUUUAGACAAAAUACAGAAAACCACUCAGUUACCAAAGUCAUAGCUAAUAUUGGUUUGUUUCUUUGGGUAAAAAAGGAAUUAUGAGGACCAUACACAAAACUCUGCUUGGUUCUUAGUGCCAAAGCUCUCAAUGUCCAAAUUGAGGUGACAGGAUUUGUAUAAAGUGAUUCCAUAUCAGGUGGCUAUUCUGCCUAUUCACUCUUUGAGUUAGACUACUUCUAAGAUUCCUCUCUGGUCUCUAUAACUACAUUG
rnacentral:lncRNA from 1 species